GAAACGACUGCUAAGACUGGAUAGGAAACAGAAAGGCAUCUUUUUGUUUUUAAAAGACCUUCUUCGGAGGGUAUGCUUAAAGAGGGGCUUGCGCCACAUUAGUUAGUUGGUGAGGUAAAGGCUUACCAAGAUUAUGAUGUGUAGCUGGACUGAGAGGUUGAACAGCCACAUUGGGACUGAGACACGGCCCAAACUCCUACGGGAGGCAGCAGUAGGGAAUUUUCGGCAAUGGAGGAAACUCUGACCGAGCGACGCCGCGUGAACGAUGAAGUAUUUCGGUAUGUAAAGUUCUUUUAUUGAAGAAGAAAAAAUAGUGGAAAAACUAUCUUGACGUUAUUCAAUGAAUAAGCCCCGGCUAACUAUGUGCCAGCAGCCGCGGUAAGACAUAGGGGGCGAGCGUUAUCCGGAAUUAUUGGGCGUAAAGGGUGCGUAGGCGGUUAGAUAAGUCUAUAAUUUAAUUUCAGUGCUUAACGCUGUCUUGUUAUAGAAACUGUCUUGACUAGAGUGAGAUAGAGGCAAGCGGAAUUCCAUGUGUAGCGGUAAAAUGUGUAAAUAUAUGGAGGAACACCAGAAGCGUAGGCGGCUUGCUGGGUCUUUACUGACGCUGAGGCACGAAAGCGUGGGGAGCAAACAGGAUUAGAUACCCUGGUAGUCCACGCUGUAAACGAUGAGUACUAAGUGUCGGGGAAACUCGGUACUGAAGUUAACACAUUAAGUACUCCGCCUGAGUAGUACGUACGCAAGUAUGAAACUUAAAGGAAUUGACGGGACUCCGCACAAGCGGUGGAUCAUGUUGUUUAAUUCGAAGAUACACGAAAAACCUUACCAGGUCUUGACAUACUCUGCAAAGCUAUAGAAAUAUAGUGGAGGUUAUCAGGGAUACAGGUGGUGCAUGGUUGUCGUCAGUUCGUGUCGUGAGAUGUUAGGUUAAGUCCUAAAACGAACGCAACCCCUGUCGUUAGUUGCCAGCACGUAAUGGUGGGGACUUUAGCGAGACUGCCAAUUAAACAUUGGAGGAAGGUGGGGAUAACGUCAAAUCAUCAUGCCCCUUAUGAUCUGGGCUACAAACGUGAUACAAUGGCUAUUACAAAGAGUAGCUGAAACGCGAGUUUUUAGCCAAUCUCAAAAAGGUAGUCUCAGUACGGAUUGAAGUCUGCAACUCGACUUCAUGAAGCUGGAAUCGCUAGUAAUCGCGAAUCAGCAUGUCGCGGUGAAUACGUUCUCGGGGUUUGUACACACCGCCCGUCA
rnacentral:rRNA from 1 species